AACGAACGCUGGCGGCAUGCCUAACACAUGCAAGUCGAACGAGACCUUCGGGUCUAGUGGCGCACGGGUGCGUAACGCGUGGGAACCUGCCCUUAGGUUCGGAAUAACUCCCCGAAAGGGGUGCUAAUACCGGAUAAUGUCUUCGGACCAAAGAUUUAUCGCCUUUGGAUGGGCCCGCGUUGGAUUAGCUAGUUGGUAGGGUAAAAGCCUACCAAGGCGACGAUCCAUAGCUGGUCUGAGAGGAUGAUCAGCCAUACUGGGACUGAGACACGGCCCAGACUCCUACGGGAGGCAGCAGUGGGGAAUAUUGGACAAUGGGCGAAAGCCUGAUCCAGCAAUGCCGCGUGAGUGAUGAAGGCCUUAGGGUUGUAAAGCUCUUUUAACCGGGAUGAUAAUGACAGUACCGGGAGAAUAAGCUCCGGCUAACUCCGUG
rnacentral:rRNA from 1 species